AUUGAACGCUGGCGGCAGGCCUAACACAUGCAAGUCGAACGAGUGGCGGACGGGUGAGUAGUGUCUGGGAAACUGCCUGAUGUAGGGGGAUAACUACUGGAAACGGUAGAUACUACCGCAUACCAUCAGAUGUGCCCAGAGGGGAUUAGCUAGUUGGUGGGGUAACGGCUCACCAGGGCGACGAUCCCUAGCUGGUCUGAGAGGAUGACCGGCCACACGGGAACUGAGACACGGCCCAGACUCCUACGGGAGGCAGCAGUGGGGAAUAUUGCACAAUGGGCGCAAGCCUGAUGCAGCCAUGCCGCGUGUAUGAAGAAGGUCUUCGGGUUGUAAAGUACUUUCAGCGGGGAAGCGUUACCCGCAGAAGAAGCACCGGCUAACUCCGUGCCAGCAGCCGCGGUAAUAC
rnacentral:rRNA from 1 species